rnacentral:rRNA from 1 species
UACGUAGGCAGCAAGCGUUGUUCGGAAUUACUGGGCGUAAAGAGUGUGUAGGCGGUGCUCCAAGUCUGGUGUGAAAUCUCCCGGCUUAACUGGGAGGGUGCGGCGAAAACUGGAAUGCUAGAGGAUGGGAGAGGUAAGCGGAAUUCCUGGUGUAGCGGUGAAAUGCGUAGAUAUCAGGAGGAACACCUGUGGUGUAGACAGCUUACUGGACCAUUUCUGACGCUGAGACACGAAAGCGUGGGUAGCAAACAGG